AGAGGACAGUGGCGGACGGGUGAGUAACGCGUGAGGAACCUGCCUUUCAGAGGGGGACAACAGUUGGAAACGACUGCUAAUACCGCAUGAUACGUAUUGGGGGCAUCCCUGAGACGUCAAAGAUUUAUCGCUGAAAGAUGGCCUCGCGUCUGAUUAGCUGGUUGGUGAGGUAACGGCCCACCAAGGCGACGAUCAGUAGCCGGACUGAGAGGUUGACCGGCCACAUUGGGACUGAGAUACGGCCCAGACUCCUACGGGAGGCAGCAGUGGGGAAUAUUGGGCAAUGGGCGCAAGCCUGACCCAGCAACGCCGCGUGAAGGAAGAAGGCUUUCGGGUUGUAAACUUCUUUUAAGAGGGAAGAGCAGAAGACUGUACCUCUAGAAUAAGCCACGGCUAACUACGUGCCAGCAGCCGCGGUAAUACGUAGGUGGCAAGCGUUGUCCGGAUUUACUGGGUGUAAAGGGCGUGCAGCCGGGAAUGCAAGUCAGAUGUGAAAUCCAUGGGCUUAACCCAUGAACUGCAUUUGAAACUGUAUUUCUUGAGUACUGGAGAGGCAAUCGGAAUUCCUAGUGUAGCGGUGAAAUGCGUAGAUAUUAGGAGGAACACCAGUGGCGAAGGCGGAUUGCUGGACAGCAACUGACGGUGAGGCGCGAAAGUGUGGGGAGCAAACAGGAUUAGAUACCCUGGUAGUCCACACUGUAAACGAUGAAUACUAGGUGUGCGGGGACUGACCCCCUGCGUGCCGCAGUUAACACAAUAAGUAUUCCACCUGGGGAGUACGAUCGCAAGGUUGAAACUCAAAGGAAUUGACGGGGGCCCGCACAAGCGGUGGAUUAUGUGGUUUAAUUCGAAGCAACGCGAAGAACCUUACCAGGGUUUGACAUCCUGCUAACGAAGUAGAGAUACAUUAGGUGCCCUUCGGGGAAAGCAGAGACAGGUGGUGCAUGGUUGUCGUCAGCUCGUGUCGUGAGAUGUUGGGUUAAGU
rnacentral:rRNA from 1 species